rnacentral:rRNA from 1 species
CUGUGAGCUCGAUGAGUAGGGCGGGACACGUGGUAUCCUGUCUGAAUAUGGGGGGACCAUCCUCCAAGGCUAAAUACUCCUGACUGACCGAUAGUGAACCAGUACCGUGAGGGAAAGGCGAAAAGAACCCCGGCGAGGGGAGUGAAAAAGAACCUGAAACCGUGUACGUACAAGCAGUGGGAGCCUCUUUUAUGGGGUGACUGCGUACCUUUUGUAUAAUGGGUCAGCGACUUAUAUUCUGUAGCAAGGUUAACCGAAUAGGGGAGCCGAAGGGAAACCGAGUCUUAACCGGGCGUUAAGUUGCAGGGUAUAGACCCGAAACCCGGUGAUCUAGCCAUGGGCAGGUUGAAGGUUGGGUAACACUAACUGGAGGACCGAACCGACUAAUGUUGAAAAAUUAGCGGAUGACUUGUGGCUGGGGGUGAAAGGCCAAUCAAACCGGGAGAUAGCUGGUUCUCCCCGAAAGCUAUUUAGGUAGCGCCUCGUGAAUUCAUCUCCGGGGGUAGAGCACUGUUUCGGCAAGGGGGUCAUCCCGACUUACCAACCCGAUGCAAACUGCGAAUACCGGAGAAUGUUAUCACGGGAGACACACGGCGGGUGCUAACGUCCGUCGUGAAGAGGGAAACAACCCAGACCGCCAGCUAAGGUCCCAAAGUCAUGGUUAAGUGGGAAACGAUGUGGGAAGGCCCAGACAGCCAGGAUGUUGGCUUAGAAGCAGCCAUCAUUUAAAGAAAGCGUAAUAGCUCACUGGUCGAGUCGGCCUGCGCGGAAGAUGUAACGGGGCUAAACCAUGCACCGAAGCUGCGGCAGCGACACUGUGUGUUGUUGGGUAGGGGAGCGUUCUGUAAGCCUGUGAAGGUGUGCUGUGAGGCAUGCUGGAGGUAUCAGAAGUGCGAAUGCUGACAUAAGUAACGAUAAAGCGGGUGAAAAGCCCGCUCGCCGGAAGACCAAGGGUUCCUGUCCAACGUUAAUCGGGGCAGGGUGAGUCGACCCCUAAGGCGAGGCCGAAAGGCGUAGUCGAUGGGAAACAGGUUAAUAUUCCUGUACUUGGUGUUACUGCGAAGGGGGGACGGAGAAGGCUAUGUUGGCCGGGCGACGGUUGUCCCGGUUUAAGCGUGUAGGCUGGUUUUCCAGGCAAAUCCGGAAAAUCAAGGCUGAGGCGUGAUGACGAGGCACUACGGUGCUGAAGCAACAAAUGCCCUGCUUCCAGGAAAAGCCUCUAAGCAUCAGGUAACAUCAAAUCGUACCCCAAACCGACACAGGUGGUCAGGUAGAGAAUACCAAGGCGCUUGAGAGAACUCGGGUGAAGGAACUAGGCAAAAUGGUGCCGUAACUUCGGGAGAAGGCACGCUGAUAUGUAGGUGAAGUCCCUCGCGGAUGGAGCUGAAAUCAGUCGAAGAUACCAGCUGGCUGCAACUGUUUAUUAAAAACACAGCACUGUGCAAACACGAAAGUGGACGUAUACGGUGUGACGCCUGCCCGGUGCCGGAAGGUUAAUUGAUGGGGUCAGCGCAAGCGAAGCUCUUGAUCGAAGCCCCGGUAAACGGCGGCCGUAACUAUAACGGUCCUAAGGUAGCGAAAUUCCUUGUCGGGUAAGUUCCGACCUGCACGAAUGGCGUAAUGAUGGCCAGGCUGUCUCCACCCGAGACUCAGUGAAAUUGAACUCGCUGUGAAGAUGCAGUGUACCCGCGGCAAGACGGAAAGACCCCGUGAACCUUUACUAUAGCUUGACACUGAACAUUGAGCCUUGAUGUGUAGGAUAGGUGGGAGGCUUUGAAGUGUGGACGCCAGUCUGCAUGGAGCCGACCUUGAAAUACCACCCUUUAAUGUUUGAUGUUCUAACGUGGACCCGUGAUCCGGGUUGCGGACAGUGUCUGGUGGGUAGUUUGACUGGGGCGGUCUCCUCCUAAAGAGUAACGGAGGAGCACGAAGGUUGGCUAAUCCUGGUCGGACAUCAGGAGGUUAGUGCAAUGGCAUAAGCCAGCUUGACUGCGAGCGUGACGGCGCGAGCAGGUGCGAAAGCAGGUCAUAGUGAUCCGGUGGUUCUGAAUGGAAGGGCCAUCGCUCAACGGAUAAAAGGUACUCCGGGGAUAACAGGCUGAUACCGCCCAAGAGUUCAUAUCGACGGCGGUGUUUGGCACCUCGAUGUCGGCUCAUCACAUCCUGGGGCUGAAGUAGGUCCCAAGGGUAUGGCUGUUCGCCAUUUAAAGUGGUACGCGAGCUGGGUUUAGAACGUCGUGAGACAGUUCGGUCCCUAUCUGCCGUGGGCGCUGGAGAACUGAGGGGGGCUGCUCCUAGUACGAGAGGACCGGAGUGGACGCAUCACUGGUGUUCGGGUUGUCAUGCCAAUGGCACUGCCCGGUAGCUAAAUGCGGAAGAGAUAAGUGCUGAAAGCAUCUAAGCACGAAACUUGCCCCGAGAUGAGUUCUCCCUGACCCUUUAAGGGUCCUGAAGGAACGUUGAAGACGACGACGUUGAUAGGCCGGGUGUGUAAGCGCAGCGAUGCGUUGAGCUAACCGGUACUAAUGAACCGUGAGGCUUAACCUU